GGGGAUGAAAGGAUUUCGACGGGGGUUUUGAGCCACGACAAGCGAGCAGCGGUGCGGGACCGCUAUAAAAUCCGCAGUUUAUAACAAUAAACGACAACAACACAGUUUUACAAGCGGCUUAACUAAGCCGUCGUCUUUACCGGAAGCACUGCGGUCCGGAUAAAGGCGUCGAUCAGCAGUGAACGUGAGCGGACGACCGCCUGAUAAUCCGCCAUGAACAAUCGGGCUACCGAAGAAGCAAGCCUGCCUGUCGGCGUGCUUUCGGGGGAAUCUUAAAUAAUAGGCUACGCUCGUAGAAAAUCGUGAGGAUGGACUUUCGGACGCGGUUUCGAUUACCGCCAUCUCCACCA
rnacentral:tmRNA from 1 species